rnacentral:rRNA from 1 species
GAGGUUAAGCGACCAAGCGUACACGGUGGAUGCCCUGGCAGUCAGAGGCGAUGAAGGACGUGCUAAUCUGCGAUAAGCGUCGGUAAGGUGAUAUGAACCGUUAUAACCGGCGAUUUCCGAAUGGGGAAACCCAGUGUGAUUCGUCACACUAUCAUUAACUGAAUCCAUAGGUUAAUGAGGCGAACCGGGGGAACUGAAACAUCUAAGUACCCCGAGGAAAAGAAAUCAACCGAGAUUCCCCCAGUAGCGGCGAGCGAACGGGGAGCAGCCCAGAGCCUGAAUCAGUGUGUGUGUUAGUGGAAGCGUCUGGAAAGGCGUGCGAUACAGGGUGACAGCCCCGUACACAAAAAUGCACAUACUGUGAGCUCGAUGAGUAGGGCGGGACACGUGGUAUCCUGUCUGAAUAUGGGGGGACCAUCCUCCAAGGCUAAAUACUCCUGACUGACCGAUAGUGAACCAGUACCGUGAGGGAAAGGCGAAAAGAACCCCGGCGAGGGGAGUGAAAAAGAACCUGAAACCGUGUACGUACAAGCAGUGGGAGCACGCUUAGGCGUGUGACUGCGUACCUUUUGUAUAAUGGGUCAGCGACUUAUAUUCUGUAGCAAGGUUAACCGAAUAGGGGAGCCGAAGGGAAACCGAGUCUUAACUGGGCGUUAAGUUGCAGGGUAUAGACCCGAAACCCGGUGAUCUAGCCAUGGGCAGGUUGAAGGUUGGGUAACACUAACUGGAGGACCGAACCGACUAAUGUUGAAAAAUUAGCGGAUGACUUGUGGCUGGGGGUGAAAGGCCAAUCAAACCGGGAGAUAGCUGGUUCUCCCCGAAAGCUAUUUAGGUAGCGCCUCGUGAAUUCAUCUCCGGGGGUAGAGCACUGUUUCGGCAAGGGGGUCAUCCCGACUUACCAACCCGAUGCAAACUGCGAAUACCGGAGAAUGUUAUCACGGGAGACACACGGCGGGUGCUAACGUCCGUCGUGAAGAGGGAAACAACCCAGACCGCCAGCUAAGGUCCCAAAGUCAUGGUUAAGUGGGAAACGAUGUGGGAAGGCCCAGACAGCCAGGAUGUUGGCUUAGAAGCAGCCAUCAUUUAAAGAAAGCGUAAUAGCUCACUGGUCGAGUCGGCCUGCGCGGAAGAUGUAACGGGGCUAAACCAUGCACCGAAGCUGCGGCAGCGACGCUUAUGCGUUGUUGGGUAGGGGAGCGUUCUGUAAGCCUGUGAAGGUGUGCUGUGAGGUAUGCUGGAGGUAUCAGAAGUGCGAAUGCUGACAUAAGUAACGAUAAAGCGGGUGAAAAGCCCGCUCGCCGGAAGACCAAGGGUUCCUGUCCAACGUUAAUCGGGGCAGGGUGAGUCGACCCCUAAGGCGAGGCCGAAAGGCGUAGUCGAUGGGAAACAGGUUAAUAUUCCUGUACUUGGUGUUACUGCGAAGGGGGGACGGAGAAGGCUAUGUUGGCCGGGCGACGGUUGUCCCGGUUUAAGCGUGUAGGCUGGUUUUCCAGGCAAAUCCGGAAAAUCAAGGCCGAGGCGUGAUGACGAGGCACUACGGUGCUGAAGCAACAAAUGCCCUGCUUCCAGGAAAAGCCUCUAAGCAUCAGGUAACAUCAAAUCGUACCCCAAACCGACACAGGUGGUCAGGUAGAGAAUACCAAGGCGCUUGAGAGAACUCGGGUGAAGGAACUAGGCAAAAUGGUGCCGUAACUUCGGGAGAAGGCACGCUGAUACGUAGGUGAAGCGACUUGCUCGUGGAGCUGAAAUCAGUCGAAGAUACCAGCUGGCUGCAACUGUUUAUUAAAAACACAGCACUGUGCAAACACGAAAGUGGACGUAUACGGUGUGACGCCUGCCCGGUGCCGGAAGGUUAAUUGAUGGGGUUAGCGCAAGCGAAGCUCUUGAUCGAAGCCCCGGUAAACGGCGGCCGUAACUAUAACGGUCCUAAGGUAGCGAAAUUCCUUGUCGGGUAAGUUCCGACCUGCACGAAUGGCGUAAUGAUGGCCAGGCUGUCUCCACCCGAGACUCAGUGAAAUUGAACUCGCUGUGAAGAUGCAGUGUACCCGCGGCAAGACGGAAAGACCCCGUGAACCUUUACUAUAGCUUGACACUGAACAUUGAGCCUUGAUGUGUAGGAUAGGUGGGAGGCUUUGAAGUGUGGACGCCAGUCUGCAUGGAGCCGACCUUGAAAUACCACCCUUUAAUGUUUGAUGUUCUAACGUGGACCCGUGAUCCGGGUUGCGGACAGUGUCUGGUGGGUAGUUUGACUGGGGCGGUCUCCUCCUAAAGAGUAACGGAGGAGCACGAAGGUUGGCUAAUCCUGGUCGGACAUCAGGAGGUUAGUGCAAUGGCAUAAGCCAGCUUGACUGCGAGCGUGACGGCGCGAGCAGGUGCGAAAGCAGGUCAUAGUGAUCCGGUGGUUCUGAAUGGAAGGGCCAUCGCUCAACGGAUAAAAGGUACUCCGGGGAUAACAGGCUGAUACCGCCCAAGAGUUCAUAUCGACGGCGGUGUUUGGCACCUCGAUGUCGGCUCAUCACAUCCUGGGGCUGAAGUAGGUCCCAAGGGUAUGGCUGUUCGCCAUUUAAAGUGGUACGCGAGCUGGGUUUAGAACGUCGUGAGACAGUUCGGUCCCUAUCUGCCGUGGGCGCUGGAGAACUGAGGGGGGCUGCUCCUAGUACGAGAGGACCGGAGUGGACGCAUCACUGGUGUUCGGGUUGUCAUGCCAAUGGCACUGCCCGGUAGCUAAAUGCGGAAGAGAUAAGUGCUGAAAGCAUCUAAGCACGAAACUUGCCCCGAGAUGAGUUCUCCCUGACCCUUUAAGGGUCCUGAAGGAACGUUGAAGACGACGACGUUGAUAGGCCGGGUGUGUAAGCGCAGCGAUGCGUUGAGCUAACCGGUACUAAUGAACCGUGAGGCUUAACCUUACAACGCCGAAG